rnacentral:rRNA from 1 species
CACGUAGGGGGCGAGCGUUGUCCGGAUUCAUUGGGCGUAAAGCGCGCGUAGGCGGCUCGGAAAGUCGGUCGUGAAAUGCCGGGGCUCAACCCCGGGACUGCGUCCGAUACUCCCGGGCUGGAGGCAGGUAGGGGAGAUCGGAAUUCCUGGUGUAGCGGUGAAAUGCGCAGAUAUCAGGAGGAACACCGGUGGCGAAGGCGGAUCUCUGGGCCUUGCCUGACGCUGAGGCGCGAAAGCUAGGGGAGCGAACAGG